rnacentral:rRNA from 1 species
GACGAACGCUGGCGGCGUGCCUAAUACAUGCAAGUAGGACGCAGUUGCGAACGGGUGAGUAACGCGUAGGUAACUACCUAUUAGAGGGGGAUAAAUAUUGGAAACGAUAGCUAAUACCGCAUACUAGUAGAUGGAUCUGCGUUGUAUUAGCUAGUAGGUAGGGUAAUGGCCUACCUAGUCAACGAUAGAUAGCCGGCCUGGAAGGGUGGUCAGCCACACCGGGACUGGGACACGGCCCAGACUCCUUCGGGAGGCAGCAGUAGGGAAACUUCGGCAAUGGGGGGAAGCCUGAACGAGCAACGCCGGGGGAGUGAAGAAGGGUUUCGGAGCGUAAAGCUUUGUUGUGAAGGAAGCGGUACUUAACCAAAAAGGGACGGCUAACUACGUGCCAGCAGCCGCGGUAAUAC